rnacentral:rRNA from 1 species
GUACAGAGGGUGCGAGCGUUGUUCGGAAUUAUUGGGCGUAAAGGGCGCGUAGGCGGUGCGGUAAAGUCCACCUGUGAAAAUCUCCUGGCUCAACUGGGAGCCUGCAGGCGAAACUGCCGUGCUGGAGUGUGGGAGAGGUGCGUGGAAUUCCCGGUGUAGCGGUGAAAUGCGUAGAUAUCAGGAGGAACACCGGUGGUGUAGACGCUUCUGGACCGUAACUGAGCUGAGACACGAAAGCGUGGGUAGCAAACAGG